CGUCGAUUUAGAGAGUCCCGUUACAGUCUACUACGGGAGAGCGACUGGUUUGCCGUAUUCAAUACUACGUUACAUUUCAAGCAGAUAUGUCCUCCGUUGCCCAAGAAGAUGCUAGAACACAUGAACCUGGACUGGAGCAUACUCACCAAAUAAAAAAAUUACAUUAAUUAAAUAAUAAUAUAAGCAAAUAAUUUUUAGAUGACUGGUGAAUAAAUAAAACAGAAUAUA